rnacentral:lncRNA from 1 species
GUCGGUGAGACCAAGAACCCACCAUUUCCAGACACGCUGUUCUCUUCCUACGGACUGAAUGAAAAAUAAAAGGAAGUCAUUUCUGCAUGUGUCACAGAGGCAUCCUUUGGUUCUAAAGGAAGCUAAGUUGGAUUCCACAAGCCCAUGGUCCUUAUAGCAUGUGAAUAGGAUUCAGUCACGGACGAGAAGGAAGAGGUUCAGGAGAGACUGUAAUCGCCCUGUCCAGGCUAACCCUCCAGCUGUGCAGGAGUAUCAAGUCCAAAAAGAAGCUCUUCAAACCAUCUGGGAAGAGAAAACAGCAUGACAAGGAAAGGUGUAUUUGUCUGAUUCUAGGAAUCAAUAUAAACAUCCAUGAUAACCCCAUCUAAUUUUUAAAUGUAUGAUUUGGAUGAAACAAGAGAAGACACUGAUUGUUGCUGAGUCCCUGCUGUAGUCCUGACACAGCUGGAGAUGCCCUGCUCUCCUUAUUUUCUUGAUGCUCAUGAGGACCCUGAUGUCUAAGGAAGAAGGUUCUCGUCCAGGUCUGCCCCUGGUGUGUCACGUGCCAGCCUUGUCAAUGCACACGAGAACCUGACAGGUUUUAUGAUUUUAGAACAUAAGUUUUAUGAUUGUUAGUGCUGGGCAACAAAAAGGAGUCCAGAGGAACGGGAGAAAAAACAACAAUAGCAAUGAUGUGAAUGCAAAACAUGAACCAGACUAAGCAGAGCAGAGGGCGGUGUGGAGCGGGAAGCAGAGACAGAAGCUUGUGAUGUUUCAGUGAUUGCUGGGAGUUAUUCAUCACCGGUAAGCCUCAUGUUCCAAAGACUCAUCAGGGCCAGGGGUUAGUUUUACGAGCUCUGUGUAAAAGAUCAUUACACAGGGCCAGUUAGAGUUCCCGCAGGAAGGAAGCGGCACACCCUAUGGGGUGAUUAGGAAGAGUGUCAUGAAGGGUGCCACACUCACACCCUAGGAAAGAGGAAAGGGGCCCAAGGGGACUCACAGAGGGAGCAGAGGGUCUGUGGGCCACAGCCAGCCCAACCACAGAGUGGCCAGAGUGACAUAGGCCCCCUCUCUGCAGGCUGGUCUCCUGCUUGGGUGUGCCCCAAGUCACCCACCCAGAAGUCAAAGGUCGAGCAUGCUUUCCAUGAAGUCUGGAGGUACAGAGCAAGGCAGACAGCCACGGGCGUGUCAGGAGGGCAGCGGGAAAUGCUCAUCCCCUUCUCCAAGAAGAGGGAAUCCCACCAUCCACAGGUUCUUCCUGCUCUGUCUCAAAGGCGGAGGCAGCUAGAAUACUCUGUCAAAAAGCAACCACAGGAAGAACAUAAUGUCAAUGCAUGGCUUUAUGUUAACAUAAUUACAUUUAUUCCAGACAAAGGUUUUUUGUAAAUUAAAGAUAGAUUAUGUUGCAACUUUUAUACUCCUCUGCCUAAUUUAGUGAGUAUUUGAUAUAUUCAGAUUUAUUUUAACCAAUUAGUUUUUUUUAAUAGAGGCAGGGUCUCAGUCU